GUGGAUGCCUUGGCGGUCAGAGG
rnacentral:rRNA from 1 species